GCCCGCCCCUCUCGGCCUUACGAAUAUGCAAAAAGCGGGAGCCGGCGGCUAACAGGCCCCUGGCGAGCCCCGCCCCCUCGGCGCCGUCCAUCUGACCUCCGGCAGCCGGCGCGGCGUCUUUGCGGCCGCGUUUCCCGCCCUUCCGAGAGCUCACCCGGAGCUCCCGGACAUGAGGGACCCGCGCUGAGCUCGUGGCACCGCACGCGGGCCCUGAAGGCGCCUUUGGCUCGGGGCCGCCCCGCCUGAGCAACCCGUAUGUCGAACACAGUCAGCUGCCGGGCUUUGUGAGCGGACGCCUGCCCGCUGAGAUGUUAACUAAAGUGAGCAAGGAUUUGCAGCUGUUUGGAGCCUGAGUGGCAGAUGAGCCCAACUUCUUGGGGACAAGUGUGAGUUACACCCCGAAGGCUGCCUUAGCAGGAUGCCCAGACAGCACGCAGACCACCUCCACACCUGCGGGGAUCUCAGUUCGGCAGGUACAGGUACAAGGAGAAGUGCCGUUACCUUGGAGCGGGGCAGGUGGCCUGGGAAGCAAGCGGGAUUCCUGCCUCCAUUUUCUGGACUAUAUGAGAACGCAGGAAGCACGUGUAGGAGAGUAGAGACCUGAACCUCAGGAACAUCAAGACAGAAGCAGGGCCAGGACGGUCCAGCGCAGCCCCGGAGGCCAGUUGCAGAGGCAGAAGAGCCAGCAGGUUUAUCAAGGGCGCCGCAUCGUGGGUGCUCUGAGAAGAAAUGUCUUGGAGCAGAGAAGAUAUUGGGGGCAGAAGUCUGAGGCAGCAGCUGGCUGGUUUAUCAAGUCAAAUGAAAGGACAAAGAACUAUACUACGCACAUCAGCUCCCAAGGGCUGACAGGGACUUCAAAAUUGGGAGCUGGCCCAGUAGAGUACAUGCCAGCUGGUACCAGCGUCUUCUGGGUGACUCGAAAGAACCUCCAGUUCCAGGGACUGAUUUUCGUACUGGCAUUUACAAUUGACUCACAUCUGUUUUAAGUUGGAUGACAAAGCCUUAACUAUGUGCUGCCACCUUAGGCUCUUUUGGCAUUGGAGAUGGCAAGGAGGACCAGCUGAAUGCAAGGUCACAGCUUUUCCAACCUUGGGCUCCUAGUGGGCUCCCUUGCUAGACAGAGGACACAACCUGGGCCCAGGCAUGUGCCUCAGAUAUCUGCGCAGCACAGAGCUGAGACCCCCCCUCACUCCUCCUCCUCUGCUCCUCAGCCUGGAGAGCUGAUCUGCACACCUUAUGGCUUGGUCUUCAAUUAGGAACCUAAAACUCACCAGCUGUUCAGCAAAGUGAGGCCACAUCAAUCUCCACAGGGCUUGGGAGUUCUUGGAUGCUGCCUCAACCCCAACACACAGUUUCUUUCUCUUGGCCCCCUUCCCAUUGCUUUUAUAGGAUUUUAAGGCAGCAGUACACUUGCAGACCUGAAUCCAUUAAAAAAAAUUUUUUAAGUUCAUAUGUGAACUUUAAAGUCCUUGAGUAGUGAUAUACUGGCAAUUUAUCAUAAAACUCAGACCAGAAUAUUACCUCUACAAGGUGGAAGACCCCAGGGCAGGACCAGUCGUCGUGCAGUUUUAAUACAUGGUGGGACGGAGAGCACUGUCUGGCUGUAAUCGUUCAGAAUGUCCACCAGCAGCCAGAGACGGACAUGUCGUCUCAUAUCAUGGACACUUACCACCAACCCCCCCUUUGUGGCAAGUGCUCUGCUCUAGAUGAGGAAAUGCCCACUCAGUUCCUCACCUGUGCACGGGCAACUCAGCUGGUGUUGCAGGGCUCGGAUUCCAACCCAGGGCUGUGGACUCAGAAACCCAGGUUCUUUCCAGCAAACUGGUGGUUUUGAAACUAGCGUUUGUUGCAGCGCUUCAGAGGUUCCCUAAAAACAUUCGCUUCAAAUGUCCUGUUAAAAGUCAUUCUUAGUAUGUACACUCAGAUAUAAAACAUGCAAUACUUAGGCUGCCUGAGACCUCACAGAAACGCCUCCAUUACUGUGUUUGUGUGGGCUUCUCAGGGGUCAUUGAUCCAGAGGGUGCAACAACUCAAUGCUACUGGU